AAAAAAAAAGGGGGAGGGGGCACACAAUCAAGUUUUAAACCAGACUGCCUGCUGAAAGAGAUGAUGUUUGAGAAAUCAUUACAGAAACUCUCAAAUUCGAAAA